GACGAACGCUGGCGGCGUGCUUAACACAUGCAAGUCGAACGCUGAAGCUUGGUGCUUGCACUGGGUGGAUGAGUGGCGAACGGGUGAGUAAUACGUGAGUAACCUGCCCUUGACUCUGGGAUAAGCCUGGGAAACUGGGUCUAAUACUGGAUACGACAUGCCACUGCAUGGUGGUUUGUGGAAAGGGUUUUACUGGUUUUGUAUGGGCUCACGGCCUAUCAGCUUGUUGGUGGGGUAAUGGCCUACCAAGGCGACGACGGGUAGCCGGCCUGAGAGGGUGAGCGGCCACACUGGGACUGAGACACGGCCCAGACGCCUACGGGAGGAAGCAGUGGGGAAGAUUGCACAAUGGGCGGAAGCCUGAUGCAGAGACGCCGCGUGAGGGAUGACGGCCUUCGGGUUGAAAACCUCUUUCAGCACGGAAGAAGCGAGAGUGACGGUACGUGCAGAAGAAGCGCCGGCUAACUACGUGC
rnacentral:rRNA from 1 species